UUUCCGUAGGUGAACCUGCGGAAGGAUCAUUACCGAGUGAGGGCCCUCUGGGUCCAACCUCCCACCCGUGUUUAUCGUACCUUGUUGCUUCGGCGGGCCCGCCUCACGGCCGCCGGGGGGCACCCGCCCCCGGUCCCGCGCCCGCCGAAGACACCAUUGAACGCUGUCUGAAGAUUGCAGGCUGAGCAUCUUAGCUAAAUCAGUUAAAACUUUCAACAACGGAUCUCUUGGCUCCG
rnacentral:misc_RNA from 1 species